rnacentral:rRNA from 1 species
GACGAACGCUGGCGGCGUGCUUAACACAUGCAAGUCGAACGGAAAGGCCCUGCUUUUGUGGGGUGCUCGAGUGGCGAACGGGUGAGUAACACGUGAGUAACCUGCCCUUGACUUUGGGAUAACUUCAGGCAACUGGGGCUAAUACCGGAUAGGAGCUCCUGCUGCACGGUGGGGGUUGGAAAGUUUCGGCGGUUGGGGAUGGACUCGCGGCUUAUCAGCUUGUUGGUGGGGUAGUGGCUUACCAAGGCUUUGACGGGUAGCCGGCCUGAGAGGGUGACCGGCCACAUUGGGACUGAGAUACGGCCCAGACUCCUACGGGAGGCAGCAGUGGGGAAUAUUGCACAAUGGGCGGAAGCCUGAUGCAGCGACGCCGCGAGCGGGAUGACGGCCUUCGGGUUGUAAACCGCUUUCGCCUGUGACGAAGCGUGAGUGACGGUAAUGGGUAAAGAAGCACCGGCUAACUACGUG